AUUGAACGCUGGCGGCAGGCUUAACACAUGCAAGUCGAGCGAGCGGCGGACGGGUGAGCAAUGUCUGGGAAACUGCCUGAUGGAGGGGGAUAACUACUGGAAACGGUAGCUAAAACCGCAUACCAUAGGAUGAGCCCCAGUGGGAUUAGGUAGUUGGUGAGGUAAAGGCACACCAAGCAGACGAUCUCUAGCUGGUCUGAGAGGAUGACCAGCCACACUGGGACUGAGACACGGCCCAGACUCCUACGGGAGGCAGCAGUGGGGAAUAUUGCGCAAUGGGGGCAACCCUGACGCAGCCAUGCCGCGUGAAUGAAGAAGGCCUUCGGAUUGUAAAGUUCUUUCGGUAGCGAGGCGUUAACUACAGAAGAAGCACCGGCUAACUCCGUGCCAGCAGCCGCGGUAAUUC
rnacentral:rRNA from 1 species